rnacentral:rRNA from 1 species
UGAAAUAGCUGGUUCUCCGCGAAAUAUAUUUAGGUAUAGCGUCGCACGAAUACCCCGGGGGGUAGAGCACUGGAUGGGCUAGGGGGUCCCAAAGACCUACCAAACCUAACCAAACUCCGAAUACCCGGGAGUACUAUGCGGCAGUCAGACAGUGGAUGCUAACGUUCAUUGUCGAGAGGGAAAGAACCCAGACCUUCGUCUAAGUACCCCAAAGUGGUGGUUAAGUUGGAAAGGAUGUGGAACGACCAUAACAGCCAGGAGGUUGGCUUAGAAGCAGCCAUCCUUUAAAGAAAGCGUAACAGCUCACUGGUCUAAUAGUUAUUCUGCGCCUAAAAUGUAACGGGGAUCAAACCACCCGCCGAAGACAAGGACUUACCCGCAAGGGCUAAGUGGUAGCGGAGCGUUCUGUAAGCCUGUGAAGCCAGUCCGACAAGGAAUGGUGGAGGUAUCAGAAGUGAGAAUGCUGACAUGAGUAACGACCAAAAGUGUGAGAAACACUUUCGCCGAAUGACCAAGGGUUCCUGCGUCAAGUUAAUCUGAGCAGGGUUAGCCGGUCCCUAAGACGAGGCAGACAUGCGUAGUCGAUGGAAACCACGUUAAUAUUCGUGGGCCUGUGGGUAGUGACGGAUCCGAAUCUUUGUUCCAGCUUAUUGGAUUGCUGGGGCGGGGAGGAGGGUUCCAGGAAAUAGCUCCCACAUUAUAGUCCGUACCCGAAACCGACACAGGUGGUCAGGUAGAGUAUACCAAGGCGCUUGAGAGAACGAUGCUGAAGGAACUAGGCAACUUGCUCGCGUAACUUCGGGAUAAGCGAGCCCCAACUGUACGCAAGUAUGAUUGGGGGACACAAACCAGGGGGUUGCGACUGUUUAUUAAAAACACAGGGCUGUGCAAACUCGUUAAGAGGAUGUAUACGGUCUGACGCCUGCCCGGUGCUGGAAGGUUAAAAGGAGAUGUGCAAGCAUUGAAUUGAAGCCCCAGUAAACGGCGGCCGUAACUAUAACGGUCCUAAGGUAGCGAAAUUCCUUGUCGGGUAAGUUCCGACCCGCACGAAUGGCGUAACGACAUCCCCGAUGUCUCCAGCAUCGACUCAGUGAAAUUGAAUUCUCCGUGAAGAUGCGGAGUUCCCGCGGUUAGACGGAAAGACCCCGUGCACCUUUACUGUAACUUUGCACUGGCAUUAGGAAAUAAUUGUGUAGAAUAGGUGGGAGACGAUGAAACUUGGGCGCCAGCCCGAGUGGAGUCACAAUGUGAAAUACCACCCUGUUGUUUCUUGAUGUCUAACCUAGGCUCGUAAUCCGGGUCAGGGACCAUGCAUGGUAGGCAGUUUGACUGGGGCGGUCGCCUCCUG